GGAGAGUUGGCUGAGCGGUUGAAAGCACCGGUCUUGAAAACCGGCGGGCGUUAAUAGCGUCCCGAGGGUUCGAAUCCCUCACUCUCCGCCA
rnacentral:tRNA from 1 species